GAUCUGAAGCAUACCACAUCAUCUGUCAAACUAGUGGAGCCAAUGUUGUGGCAGGGGCAUGUAUGCCUGCCAGUUAGUGGGUCACUGGUGUUUACUGAUGAUGUGACUGCUGAUAAAAGUUACAGGGUAAAUUGUGGAGUGUACAGGGCUAUAGUUUCUGCUCAGAUUCAGCCAAAUGCUGCUGAACUGAUCGGACAGUAAACGGACCGUGACCCAUACCUUACUGUGAAAGCAACCCAAGACUUUCUCAAUGCAAAGACAUGGGAUGUCUGUCACCUGAUCUCAACCCAACAGAGCAUGGUUUUUAAUAACUGAAGGCAAAACUAAGUGCAAAGAGACCCACAAUCAAGCAGCAACUGAUGGUGGCCUAGACCUAGCUGUGUUAUCAGUAGUUAUAGUUAUUAGUCUCUACAUGUUACCUCUGCAAUAGACAAGGAACCUGUCCAGGGUGUACUGCACUUUUUGCCUAUGACAAAUGGGACGGGCUCCAAUGUUUCAGGUAUCCAGUGGCUGUACUGACCCAAAUGACUGUAGCCAUACAAGUUAAAGGACGUAUACAAGCAUACAGGCGAUCCAUUGCUCCAUAUUUUGUGAAAAGGCAUCUCCUCUAGAUCUUAGUAGAGAAAAAAUUGCAAACAAUUUACUACACUGUGUCCAUCCAUUUUCUAAGACUUGGGGGGUCAGGUUUAUACGAGUCUUUCUUUCUUUCUUUCUUUCUUUCUUUCUUUCUUUCUUUCUUUCUUUCUUUCUUUCUUUCUUUCUUUCUUUCUUUCUUUCUUUCUUUCUUCAGCUGAACCUGUAGGCUUUGACUAUUUCAUAUUGAAUCACAUUUGAAAUUCAAAGGUAGCUAUUUGCACCAAUUUCCUACAUUAUGUUCACUUUUUCUUUUCUUAAUUUAUUUGAAAGAACAUUGAUAUUUUUUCUGUUCAACUGAGUGAAAUGAGAAUUUUAUUUUAUUUUGUACAAGCAAUAUAUUUAGUGCAGAUUGCUCAUGAAGUGUAAAGACGGGAAGAGAUUGUAUUUUGUGGUUCAGUUCAGUUCGGUUUUACUUAUAUAGCAAAAUCACAGCAGCAGUUGCCUCAAGGCACUUUAUAUUGCAAGGUAAGGACCCUACAAAAAACAGAGAAAAGCCCUACAAUUAAACAACUCCCUUUGAGCAAGUACCUGGUGACGUUAACGGGAAGAAACCUCCGGCAGAACGAGGCUCAGAGAGGGACAGCGAACAGUGAUGCUUAGAGGGUAUUUGUUUGGUGAGGAGACCACACACAUUCAGAUAGCCCAAACUGUUUGAAAACCACGGAGAGGGAGAAUGUUAUGUGAAUCAAUCAGGCAGUGUGAGGUAGGGGAGAUUUUCUGCAUGUUUUAUUUCUCACUGGAGCACUCAUAGAAAUGAACCCGUACUAUAAAUUUUAAUGGUGAUUCCUUCACCGUGACAAGUCAAAAUAGAGUCUGUAGAAAACAUCUAUAAAUCGGAGAAAGACGGAAAG
ensembl:lncRNA